rnacentral:rRNA from 1 species
GCCUAAUCGUAAACUUUAACUUACACCCCCCCCGCCAGAGAACUACGAGCAAAGCUUCAAACUCAAAGGACUUGACGGCACUCCAUACCCCUCUAGAGGAGCCUGUCCUAUAAUCGAUACUCCCCGAUCAACCUCCCCACUUUUAGCCUCUCAGCCUGUAUACUUCCGUCGUCAGCUUACCCCGUGAGGGUCUCCAGUAAGCUCAAUGUUCCCCCACAAAACGCCAGGUCAAAGUGCAGCUUAUAGAGUGGAAAGAGAUGGGCUACACUUUCUAAACUAGAAGAAACGAAAAACACUUUGAAAUUGUGUUUGAAGGUGGAUUUAGCAGUAAAAAGAAAACACGAAUGUUCUCUUUAAAUCGGCAAUGGAAUGUGUACACACCGCCCGUCACCCUCUUCAAAACACACCAUUAGUUCAUAACAACCUUUGCAAUACAGAAGAGGCAAGUCGUAACAUGGUAAGUGUACCGGAAGGGGCACUUGGAAA